rnacentral:rRNA from 1 species
AUUGAACGCUGGCGGCAGGCCUAACACAUGCAAGUCGAGCGGCAGCGGAAAGUAGCUUGCUACUUUGCCGGCGAGCGGCGGACGGGUGAGUAAUGUCUGGGGAACUGCUCGAUGGAGGGGGAUAACUACUGGAAACGGUAGCUAAUACCGCAUAACGUCGCAAGACCAAAGAGGGGGACCUUCGGGCCUCUUGCCAUCGGAUGUGCCCAGAUGGGAUUAGCUAGUAGGUGGGGUAACGGCUCACCUAGGCGACGAUCCCUAGCUGGUCUGAGAGGAUGACCAGCCACACUGGAACUGAGACACGGUCCAGACUCCUACGGGAGGCAGCAGUGGGGAAUAUUGCACAAUGGGCGCAAGCCUGAUGCAGCCAUGCCGCGUAUGAAGAAGGCCUUCGGGUUGUAAAGUACUUUCAGCGGGGAGGAAGGUGUUGAGGUUAAUAACCUCAGCAAUUGACGUUACCCGCAGAAGAAGCACCGGCUAACUCCGUGCCAGCCGCCGCCGUAA